rnacentral:lncRNA from 10 species
CAAAUAUUUAAAAUCUUUGAAGUCGUUUGCAAGCCCCAUUCUUCUGCUUGGCUGCUGAGGGCCACGCCUGUUCCUGAGGAUUACCUCUCCCAGACCCCAACCCUCCUUCCACCACACCUCAGCCCUGGGAGGCCUGGUGACCAGCUGGGAGUGCCGGGCUCCAAGGCUGAGAGGUGUUGCUCAAUCAGCUGAAGUGUCCUAGUCCAUGAAAAGGGUACGAUUUCUCUUUGCCGAAGAGACAAUGCGGGAACCUUAGGAGAAAACAGCAGGAAAAGACAUUGCUGCCCAGGUGGACACACAUCUCCUCCAGGUGCGCUUUCCUUGGCUUUUGAGGCCUCGUAUAUUUGGACGUUGAAGGCGUCCCUCAGGUACCACCUGGAAUGGUUUGUGCGAGUGGAGCUCUACUACCAAAUGAAAACUUUCAAUUACAUUAUUGUGCAUAAUGGACUUGGGGGCCUUUUUAAAGCAAAGGAAGUAACACUGCAGGAAAGGCAAAAUGGAAUUAAAGAAGCGGAGAGUGGGUCAGGCACUUCCCCUGCGGGUCAUGUUGCUGCUCCAUCUAAUUAUCGUCUGGCGGCCAGCAGAGGAAAUGGUAAAUCCUGAAGCGGUGGUGAGACGACCCCUGCAUUAUCUUCAAGCCGUCAAGCCAGGGAGGAAUAAUAACCCCGGACAGAGAGGAAUCUGAGUUUGCAAGCCGUCAAGUGCAUUGACCUCUUUGUCCUCAACCAAAUCUGAGGUCACCAAUCCUUUCCAAACUCAGCCAUGAUGUUGGCAGAGCAGAUUUGCCAGGUUCUUCUCGGGGGCCCCACUACCCUUAUAUUUAAAUCCUUAGUCUAAUUCUCAUCUUUUCCUGCCCCCCUGCUGCAGGAAAUGAGAGCCCCUCUGUAUGCUGCAAAGGGGGAGCCCUGCUUUCACACUUUGCCUAAAUUAAUGAUGAUGUUUACCGUCUUACUGCAAAGCAUAGAUUGUACUCAUCAGGAACCAGCCAGUUUCAUUACUCUCAUAAUGACUUCUCCAACCUCUCAAAUGCCUGAGAAACUGCACCUGCCAGUUGCUUCCUCCUCCUCCUACUCUGUCCUUUUGUGCUAAUGCCAGGGGCUAGCCCUACUCCACCUCCCACCGGUAAGGAGGACUUUACUGAUAGCCUGCUGGUGUGACCUGCACGUAUAUAUCCAGAUGGCCUGAAGUAACUGAAGAAUCACAGAGGAAGUGAAAUUUAAAUGGCCUGUUCCUGCCUUAACUGAUGACAUUCCACUACAAAAGAAGUGAAAAUGGCCGGUCCUUGCCUUAACCGAUGACAUUACCUUGUGAAAUUCCUCCUCCUGGCUCAUCCUGGCUCAAAAAGCUCCCCCACGGAGCACCUUGUCACCCCCACUCCUGCCCGCCAGAGAACAACCCCCCUUUGACUGUAAUUUUCCUUUACCUACCCAAAUCUUAUAAAACGGCCUCACCCCUAUCUCCCCUUUGCUGACUCUCUUUUCGGACUCAGACGGCCUGCACCCAGCUGAUUAAAAAGCUUUAUCGCUCAC